rnacentral:lncRNA from 1 species
AGAGAGGCAGGGAAUAAACCACCAAGCACACCCAAGCUCACUGGGUGCUUACGAGAGCAAUGGACCAAGGACUGUGACUGAGGAGUAGGUGUGUGGGCCAGGAUGCCUGGUAGAGGCUUCUGAAGGUAUGAGGUCAUUUCCCAGCCUUUUUCUGAGUCUCCUGAGAACCUGUAGCUCUGCUGGGGGAACUGCAAGGACAAGGACUCCAAGCAGGAACACAGAGAGUGCACUUUCUUUAUGCCAGCUCAACAUUCAAGGAAACCAAUUUCUC